CAGGUGCACGUGAAACGUUAGCUUUUUUGCAAACUGGAGGUUUCAUGCAGAGGCAGAGCCUUGCUGGUGUUUAUCAGCUCAGCAGAGACCAUUCCUCCUGGAGUGAAGAGGCUGGAAGAGAGCGAAAAAGUUAUCUGAGCUCAGGGCUUUACAAAGCACAAUGAGGUAGCAUCAUCCAAGGAGACCUUCCUCUGAAGCAGUCUACAUAUUCACUUGUACAAGUGAUGUGGGGACAAAAUUCCUACUUGUGGCAUUAAUGUUUUUUGUGAUAUACCCUUCAACACUAUUUCCCAUUGACACUAGAGCUGGAAAAAAAUUGUUUUGCACAAAAAGAGGGGCAAGAAGUGGAUUUCUAGUUAUGAAUUCUCUUAAAGAGCGGAAGCAAACCACCCAGAGUUGUUUUUAAGUACCAAGCCAUGGAAAACAGCACCCAGCCUCAGACAACAUGCUUCUGUUCCUGAUACUGAAGUUGUUAAUGCAAACACAUGUCUUUCCUUUGUGAGGAGACUGGAACAUCAACAAAAGAAUACAUUUCAUAGGAUGCUUGAAGUUCUGGCUUUUUCCAGAGAAUUCUUUUGGUGCUGCAGCAUUUGGAAGAGCGGAGCAGCAGGCUGCCGUCCGAGCAGUACGCUGUGGCGGCUGGUCUCGCUAUGGAGAACAAGAAAUCUCCUCUGAUCCUAGGACAGGAAGUUGAGGCUCUCACAGGAGAAGCAGCUUGGCUCGUGCAGCUUCGUGAAAUGAAAACUAAGGAGGGAUGUGAUCGCUGGCUGUAAAAACAAGGGGGUAGGUAGCAGGAAGGAGAAGAGCUCUGUAGUUAACCUGUGCUGGCCUCUGCUUCUGUAAGCUUGCACAGUGCUUUCCCAUUGUAUAAGGUCAUCUAAUGAAAGAUAUUACAUCUCCCUGCAGAUUUUGCUUUUCUUAUAGCCUUAGACAGCAAUAGCUAUGGCAGCUCUGUGCUUGGCACUGAAACGCUGAAGUCUGGCUGAGAACAAAUUUAGUUUGGGCGUGUGGAGGUCUCUAAGUAUGAGAGCUAUGGGGAUUUGGAAAAAUCUUGCAGUAAGUAUAAUGUAGACGAGGCACCUGAAGUAGCCAUUAAUUGGUGUCUGAUUAGCAUCUGCAGGAUUGCAUGACAUGGAGCACGAUAGCUGAAUUGCUGUGCUGGCAUGAGAGAUUCUCUGCAGUUCUAAGGGAACGCGAGCUGAAGUAAAGAGACGAUGCGUAACAUCAGCGAGGUGGGAAAAAUCUGCAUGAGGAUCAUCAGAUCUGCUAUCCAUUGGUUUCUAUUUAAUUAUUCAUAGUAAUCCAAGUGCUGCUUACCGUAUCUUGUACUGCUUUACAGUGUUUUCCUCUGUGUAUUGAAUGUCUGAUUUACCAAGGAACGAUAUGCCUUGGAGUUGUGUAAGAACAAUGAACGUAUUCAUCGGCUUCCCUACAAAGCAGCUCUAAGAUCUCGCUGAGGAAGGCUUCGGCAAAGAGCUAAGCUGGGGGAUGAAGGGGAAUGCAAUAGAAUUAGGAAUGAGAUUGGCACAUCCAUCCAACGUGCCAUGCAGGCCGUGUCAUGGGGUUGGCUGUUUUGUUCUCUUGCUUUGCGUGCUUAGAACUUAGAAAAAGCAUUUCAAAAAUUCAGUGCCCAUACCUAGGGUAAGAUUUUGGCUCCCGCUUAAGCAUUGUGUGAAGGAGCCGGGGUCGUGAAUGGAGCACUGUGCUCAGUGCUUUCUUCGGUCUGCCAGGAAGAAAAGCUGUCUGUCAUGUCAGCCCAGAGGAACGGAGUGCAGACGAGGGCUGUGGCCUUCUUAGCUCUCCGAUGCCUGCAGGGAGAGGGGGACUGGCUGCAGGCGCUUUGUGUCAUUACAGUACAUGGGAAGGACCGUGUUUUUGAUUCUGCAGCAGUCUCUUAAUAGGGCUGGACAGGGACUGGCAUGAUGCAGGACAGUUCAGCAUGAGAGGAUUGAUCUGGGUUGCCAAACUUUUCCCCAGGAUAAGCAACCAAAGGACAACAAAGGUUUCUGUAAGUUAACCUCUGCCAUCGACAUCACUGAAAGUACCAGGAAAAACCGUCAUCCUUCGUCUGCUCUGCAGUGAGGUUUGUCUUAAAGAAAAUACUCCAGAGUCUCAAUAUAUAUGGUUCACUCUGAUACAAAAUACUUGAUGCAAGUACGUAUAAAACCCCAGAGUUACAUUCUUCCUUGAAAUCUCAUCCAUAGCGGGAGGCUGUGAUGGAGGGGCUGAUGAAAUGGGAGCUAACGAAGGAUGGAAGACAUCACUACCUGAGCCACCCUGGAGGAGUAUGUGUGCUUGGAGCAACAACCAAACAAAACCUUCCAAGUACUGCGUGGUCCUGAACUCUGAACUUGGGCUGCUCUUUCUGAUAGCUUGAACGUUCACCCCUUGUAAUGGGAUUUUUAUCCCAGAAGCCCCAGGAGUUGCACAGCAAUACUCUUUUGAGCUACUGCUUACUGCUAGUAGUUAGGAAGCCACUGCAAACAAUUGGAUGCACACAGGAUAAUGUUCUUCACUGUCCUCAGUUAUCAUUCUUCCCAUGGUGUAAAUGCAUCUGAAGGGUGUGAUUUCCAUUUAGAGUACGUUGUGGAACCAGGUCAGACAUGAGAUUUUUUUUUUUUUUUUACCUGCCCAGUAACCUGACAGAUCAUCUAGUUUGAUUCUUGUGAAAUUAUCUGACUGGAUGCAGUGCUCUUCAAAAGCAGAGCAUUAGGAAUCAUCUAGACAAAGCAGCAGAUAGGUAUUUUAAAACACAGGCUAGGGUAAGCAACUGUUCUUAUCGCUUACAGGGAAAAUUAAAUUAAUGGCGAAAGUGUUACUUAUUUGACUCCGAAUGUGGGAAUUAUUACUAAUUGCCAGAGUAAUUCCUUGAUAAUGAUGCUGUAAUGAUUCUUUCUAUUACAAGUGGUAAUGCUGUCAUUACUACAUUACUCAAACUCAAAUCCAUGGGGAAGCUCUGUAGGGUGAGCAGUGAUUGAAAGUUCCACAUUAAAAUAAUUACCCUCAAUCUUAAAUUUCGAAUGUACAUGAUGGAUAUCUAACGUUCACUGGAUUUCUUAAGGCUCCUCUUCUGCAAUAUUUCUCUUAUCUGCACCGGGCUCUGGUUAUUUUGUUCUUUUUAGGCUAGUUAAUUUUUCAAGACGUGUUUAAGGAUGGUAUUCAGAAAAUGAAGUGUUUUAGCAUUGUUAGAAUGGUGACAACCGAUAAAUGAGCAGCUUAUAUCUUAUCUGUAAUGUUGUGUAGGGAAAAAUGUAGCCUUCCUUAUCCAGGGCUUUUCUGUUCCUGACGCCUUUUUGAGAUAGGAUUUCAGCGUCUUGGCUGUAAUGUACGGUGGCAAUGUGAGAAGUACGAUGCAGAUAAGUGUCACAAACGCUAAUGCGGGUCUCAUUUUGAUUCUGAAACCCCUGAUUAGGGAGUGAAUGUGAGAGCUACGGAGUUGGGCUUCCACACAGGCUUCCCCUCUGCUUUUGUGCCUGUCUCAGUAUCCCAGUGGCACUUCCAGAAAUUCCUAAAUAAGGUAGGACAAGCCCUUUUGCUGGGAAAUAGUAUUAACUUAAUUCUCACAGAGAUGAGGAGCAUUCUCAAUCCAGUAUUUUAACAAGUAUCUUCUUUAUUACUUUUAAGAGUCAGUUCUUUCUCAGCCAGAAUGAGGAACAUGGUUGCCAUGUACAGAUAUGCCUUGGUGUAGUAGAGACCAGAGAACAUCACUGAAACGCUGACGGUGCCAUCUGCACUAGCGCUCUGGGUGCACCCUCAGUGGCCUCCCGUAGAUGAGCCGAGCUGCCUUGAGAAAGCAAAGAGAAGCACAGAUGAUGAACCGUGGAAAGAAAACGGUAUUUCUUCAGCUUGCUGCUCUGGGUGGAUUUUAAUGGCAGCCGAGAAGGCUCUGUCCGUGCUGAGGCCGCUGUGUGCUGAGCGUUAGGCUUCGCACAAACAAGCUGCUCAGGCUCAUCCUGCUGCAAACUGAGAGCGGUGCCUGGGGAAUUCCAGAGAUAUUAAGGAGCUGCACCAGCCAAAGCAGCUGGAUCGGGGUUUUCGGCUCGCAGCGUGAGCGAGCUGUGGUGUUGGCCCUUGUUCUUGUGCUUUUCUGAUGAUGGGGAUAGGACGUGGAACCAACUGACACACAGGAGUUUUCUCACUUUCAGGAUUUUUCUGUGAUAGCAAGCUUGAAUCCUCAGCUUUUCUAGGGGGCAAGAGUCACACGAACUUCCUUCAGUGGAAGGUGGGAUGUUCAGUCCUAUGCCAGGUCGAUCCUACAAAGCAAACCUCUAUCAGAAGAGUUACUGGUUUGAGGAUAAAUGUCUGGCGUGAGGCGCUGUAUAAUCACAAAACCAAAAGAUGGCUCUUGGCUUGAGGAGCACUAGCUCUGCAGUCGGCUACAGCUGUUCUAGCUGAAAAGAUCAUAUUAAACGCGAUGUCUGUUUCUACUCAUAAAACUUGAUGGUUUUUUGAGCAGUGCAAACUUUAAUGUGUGUGAAAGUGCCUUAAGUUGGUAAUAAUGAUGAAAUGCAAGGAAUCGUCCAAAAUUUCUCUGUUUACUUCUAUAAUAAAAACAGCUUUAUUCAGUAGUUCGUGCAUGGGGUAUUCACAAUUUUUAACUGACAACAGAAAUCCCCAUAUGGCUCAGAAAAGUGUUGGCAUGCACUUGUGUGAAGUUUGUUAAAACUGCCUGACAGACGUUGUUUUUUUAAAGAAUUCUUUUCCUUUCAAACAAGUUUCUUCUGUGGUUUAUAAGUGAAGUUUAAAAAGCUAAUUGGACAAGGCCAAGGAUAUAAUUAGAUUUAUGCUUAUGUGGGAUAGUCUUGUAGAAGCAGUCUCUAGAAGGACUCUGAGACUGAAAUUGAAGCUUGUCUCAAUGUCAUGAUUUAAAAAAAAAUAAAUAUUGCCAUCAGCUGAAAGUGACAAUUUCAGUUGUACCAGGAGGUUCUCAGUAUCCAAGCCAGAGCCCAGGGAUGAUCUGGGGCCCUUAUUUACCACUCACUUUGUCGAGUCUCCUGCCUCCCGCAUCUCCUGGGGGUGACACUCAUCACUAAAAUCAUCGGAUCAGCUCAUGGUGUUUGUAGGAUUAAGAAGGUUAAACCAACAUUUGGUCACUUGCCGAAGACAGAUGAUUUGUAGCUGUUAACAAGUGCAUUCAGUCGUCGUAUUCCUUCUGACUCUUGAAUCGGUCACAUCUUUAAGAAUAGCAGCAAGUGAUUUAUGUAGGAGAUAAGAAUCUUCACAAGCAGCUUAUUUUUUUUGAGGGAUUUUAAAUUCUCUCCUUCCCUUUACAGAAAAAAAAAAAGUUUCAAAGGAACAUCUUGGAGUCUUUUUGCAUUUGUUUCUUUGUAAAGUCAAAGAUGAACAAAAAGUUGCUGAAGGCAUCCUGCAGAAGUAAAACCAGUCAAAUCAGGCCAAGUUGUUUUUUUUUCUUGGCUUUCUGUUAGGUGUCUUAUGACAUGAGGCUUUCUACGUAGUUGCUUAUUUUUGCCAUUCAAUCAUGUGCAGCAUGCACAAACACGAACUCCCUGCACAGCCUUUCUGGGCUGAUUUAAGCCUUGCUGUAAAAAUCCAGCCAGGGUGUUUCUUCCUUAGAGAACAAUAAAUGUGAAAAGGAGAGCAGGAACCUCGACUUCAUUUAUUCAGUGACUUUGGUUCUGGAAGUCUUCGGGCCAUAGGCCUCUGAGUGGAAAAUGUACAAACAUUGCACAUGGAGGUCCCCUGGGCUUCCCGUGCGUGUAACAGGACAGAAAGGUUCCCUUCCUCAAAGCUUAACAGAAAUUAUUCCAGUGGUAUCCUGCAACGUUGGUAGUGGGAAUUGUUUGCUCUCUUUUUAUUCCUGAGUAGUACAAAGAUGUAUGACAAUAAGGAGAGAGGGAAGAUGGGCUGCACGGGACAGCUGGAAGCCUGUGAAGUUGAGAUGUGAUCUGCGGUGGUGGUGAUGGUUUGGCUCAGCCCGUGUGUUUUCUGUGCCCAUCUCAAAAAGAAAUUGCCUUCAAAAAUGUAAGUGGCUUACCGCAUCUCUUUCAUUAGGGAGACAGUGUAAUGUGAUAUGGAGA